GACGAACGCUGGCGGCGUGCCUAAUACAUGCAAGUAGAACGCUGAAGGAGGAGCUUGCUCUUCUGGAUGAGUUGCGAACGGGUGAGUAACGCGUAGGUAACCUGCCUGGUAGCGGGGGAUAACUAUUGGAAACGAUAGCUAAUACCGCAUAACAGUAGAUGUUGCAUGACAUUUACUUAAAAGGUGCAAUUGCAUCACUACCAGAUGGACCUGCGUUGUAUUAGCUAGUUGGUGGGGUAACGGCUCACCAAGGCGACGAUACAUAGCCCACCUGAGAGGGUGAUCGGCCACACUGAGACUGAGACACGGCCCAGACUCCUACGGGAGGCAGCAGUAGGGAAUCUUCGGCAAUGGACGGAAGUCUGACCGAGCAACGCCGCGUGAGUGAAGAAGGUUUUCGGAUCGUAAAGCUCUGUUGUAAGAGAAGAACGAGUGUGAGAGUGGAAAGUUCACACUGUGACGGUAUCUUACCAGAAAGGGACGGCUAACUACGUG
rnacentral:rRNA from 1 species